rnacentral:sRNA from 1 species
ACACUCUCACAUACUAGCCCGACAUGGUGGCAGGCGCCUGUAAUCCCAGCUACUUGGGAGGCUAAGGCAGGAGAAAAAUCGCUUGAACCCAGGAAGCGACGGCUACAGCCAACUGAGAUCACACCACUAUACUCCAGCCUGGAUGACAGAGUGAGACUUCGUCUCAAAAAAAAAAAAAAAAAGUGUUGGGAUUACAGGUGUGAGCCACUGCUUCCAGCCCCCUAGAUCUAAUUUGAAAGCCCUUACUUUUUUUCCAUCUGCUCUACUGUUCAGCCAAAGAUUGUGACUGGAGAGGAGUGUUUUCUUCUAGAGGUAAAUAAAUGGCCUGUAUAUUAUCCAAGGUGGAAUUUGGGUCUCUGUAGCGCCAGCUUGGACCAGUGUUUGGAGAGCUGAAGCCUCGUCCCACUCCUUAUGUUGCAAGAUCCAUGGAGUUCCAGCCCCCUGGACUUGUGGGGAGCUUGGAGAAGAGAGCCAUGAACAUCUGCCCACAUUGCAUUCUCUUCUCUUAGCUUGAGUCACCAUGCCUAAGCUUGGGUUCCACUUGGCAGUGAGAUGGAGAGAGUGUCCUAAAAGAGAUAAUGGCAAUGACCACCAGGUUGAAAACUGGCCUGGUGAGGAAAAGCAGAAGAUUGAUUGGGAAAAGAGAAGGCUAAGAGAUGAUUGGCCCUGGUGGGUGAGGUGCAAAGCUGUUGGCUAGUUUUCUGGAGAUAGGCUUACAUGAAGGUAGGUUGGGCAGAAGAAAGAACUUUGUGUUGGGCAUAGAAGAGAUUAAGAUGAACAAUUUGCUCUGUGGAGAACCUUUGGGAAAGGAGCAACUCUGCCUCUCCCAACUGAUACAGAAGACUUGGGGAGGUCUCUCAAGUCAAGAAUUCUGUUCUUAGGCCACUUUUCUCCCUUAAUUUAUUUCCUGUUCUUUCUCUUUUUAGCUCCCAGGGUUGCUAGAGCUCCUUGUAGAAUAUUUCCGACGAUGCCUGAUUGAGAUCUUUGGCAUUUUAAAGGAGUAUGAGGUGGGUGACCCAGGACAGAGAACACUACUGGAUCCUGGGAGGUUCAGCAAGGUGUCUAGUCCAGCUCCCAUGGAGGGUGGGGAAGAAGAAGAAGAACUUCUAGGUCCUAAACUAGAAGAGGAAGAAGAAGAGGAAGUAGUUGAAAAUGACGAGGAGAUAGCCUUUUCAGGCAAGGACAAGCCAGCUUCAGAGAAUAGUGAGGAGAAGCUGAUCAGUAAGUUUGACAAGCUUCCAGUAAAGAUCGUACAGAAGAAUGACCCAUUUGUGGUGGACUGCUCAGAUAAGCUUGGGCGUGUGCAGGAGUUUGACAGUGGCCUGCUGCACUGGCGGAUUGGUGGGGGGGACACCACUGAGCAUAUCCAGACCCACUUCGAGAGCAAGACAGAGCUGCUGCUUUCCCGGCCUCAUGCACCCUGCCCACCAGCCCCUCGGAAGCAUGUGACAACAGCAGAGGGUACGCCAGGGACAACAGACCAGGAGGGGCCCCCGCCUGAUGGACCUCCAGAAAAACGGAUCACAGCCACUAUGGAUGACAUGUUGUCUACUCGGUCUAGCACCUUGACCGAGGAUGGAGCUAAGAGUUCAGAGGCCAUCAAGGAGAGCAGCAAGUUUCCAUUUGGCAUUAACCCAGCACAGAGCCACCGGAACAUCAAGAUCCUAGAGGACGAACCCCACAGUAAGGAUGAGACCCCACUGUGUACCCUUCUGGACUGGCAGGAUUCUCUUGCCAAGCGCUGCGUCUGUGUCUCCAAUACCAUUCGAAGCCUGUCAUUUGUGCCAGGCAAUGACUUUGAGAUGUCCAAACACCCAGGGCUGCUGCUCAUCCUGGGCAAGCUGAUCCUGCUGCACCACAAGCACCCAGAACGGAAGCAGGCACCACUAACUUAUGAGAAGGAGGAGGAACAGGACCAAGGGGUGAGCUGCAACAAAGUGGAGUGGUGGUGGGACUGCUUGGAGAUGCUCCGGGAAAACACCUUGGUUACACUCGCCAACAUCUCGGGGCAGUUGGACCUAUCCCCAUACCCCGAGAGCAUUUGCCUGCCUGUCCUGGACGGACUCCUACACUGGGCAGUUUGCCCUUCAGCUGAAGCCCAGGACCCCUUUUCCACCCUGGGCCCCAAUGCCGUCCUUUCCCCGCAAAGACUGGUCUUGGAAACCCUCAGCAAACUCAGCAUCCAGGACAACAAUGUGGACCUGAUUCUGGCCACACCCCCCUUCAGCCGCCUGGAGAAGUUGUAUAGCACUAUGGUGCGCUUCCUCAGUGACCGAAAGAACCCGGUGUGCCGGGAGAUGGCUGUGGUACUGCUGGCCAACCUGGCUCAGGGGGACAGCCUGGCAGCUCGUGCCAUUGCAGUGCAGAAGGGCAGUAUUGGCAACCUCCUGGGCUUCCUAGAGGACAGCCUUGCCGCCACGCAGUUCCAGCAGAGCCAGGCCAGCCUCCUCCACAUGCAGAACCCACCCUUUGAGCCAACUAGUGUGGACAUGAUGCGGCGGGCUGCCCGCGCGCUGCUUGCCCUGGCCAAGGUGGACGAGAACCACUCAGAGUUUACUCUGUACGAAUCACGGCUGUUGGACAUCUCGGUAUCACCGUUGAUGAACUCAUUGGUUUCACAAGUCAUUUGUGAUGUACUGUUUUUGAUUGGCCAGUCAUGACAGCCGUGGGACACCUCCCCCCCUGUGUGUGUGUGCGUGUGUGGAGAACUUAGAAACUGACUGUUGCCCUUUAUUUAUGCAAAACCACCUCAGAAUCCAGUUUACCCUGUGCUGUCCAGCUUCUCCCUUGGGAAAAAGUCUCUCCUGUUUCUCUUUCCUCCUUCCACCUCCCCUCCCUCCAUCACCUCACGCCUUUCUGUUCCUUGUCCUCACCUUACUCCCCUCAGGACCCCACCCCACCCUCUUUGAAAAGACAAAGCUCUGCCUACAUAGAAGACUUUUUUUAUUUUAACCAAAGUUACUGUUGUUUACAGUGAGUUUGGGGAAAAAAAUAAAAUAAAAAUGGCUUUCCCAGUCCUUGCAUCAACGGGAUGCCACAUUUCAUA